rnacentral:rRNA from 1 species
GACGGAGGAUGCAAGCGUUAUCCGGAAUUACUGGGCGUAAAGCGUGCGCAGGCGGUUGUGUAAGACAGAUGUGAAAUCCCCGGGCUCAACCUGGGAACUGCAUCCGAGACUGCAUUGCUAGAGUAUGGGAGAGGGAAGCGGAAUUUCUGGUGUAGCAGUGAAAUGCGUAGAUAUCAGAAGGAACAUCAGUGGCGAAGGCGGCUUCCUGGACCAAUACUGACGAUCAGGUGCGAAAGCGUGGGGAGCAAACAGG